rnacentral:lncRNA from 1 species
GGCCCCAGGAGCCAUGAUGCAAAAGAGCCAGACUACUGCUGGAGCUGGAGGCAGACACUGAUGUCAUCCAUGUAGUUUUAAAGAUAUACGGAAUGGAAGCUUUGUGAGGUCAGGAGGGCUUCUGCCCAGAUUUCAGAAGGCUGAGGAGGCCAAGGAGUGUGCCCCUGAGAGGGCAGUGUGUAAAGCUGUGAGAGUAAAGCCAGAAGUGCAGUGGAGACCACAGGAAGUUGGCAAGCCAGGAACAUAGAACAUCUGAGGAAGCCACAAAGAGGGCUCAUUGUUAAGAGUAUGCCUGAAGUUUCAGAGGAGACUGGACUUGGGACUUUUCAGCAAUGCUGAAACUGUUAGGACUUUGGCAACUCUAAAAGAUGGACUAAAUACCUUUUGCAUAAAAGGAUGCACAUGAGUUUUUAGGGGGCCAGGAGCAGAAAUAUUAUGGUUUAUAUCUAGAUGUCCCCUCAAAGCCUCAUGCAUUCAUGGGUGGGGCUUUGGGGGGGCGGCAAUUGGAUCCUGGGGCAUUAUACCUAAUGAUGUUCGGAGGAGGAGGUGGAGCCUGGUUGGGGAGGUAGAGGCCGGAUGGAGAUGUGUUACUGGACGAGUGGCCUAGAAGGACAUAGCUCCCUCCCAUUCCUCUCUUCAUUCUGCUUCCCCAAUGCUAUAACAUAAGCAAUAUCUCCUCCGCCGUGCCUGUGUGCCGUGAGGUCCUGCCUUGAAGCCAACGGUCUGAAACUUCUACAAACUUUGAGCCAAAAUAAACCUCUCCUCCUUUAAGUUGUGGGUAUCAGGUAUUGCAUCUCAGUGAUGAGAAAGUGACUAAGACACAUUCCUUUUUCCAAACUUCAAAUUCCAAUUUGGGCAGUUUUUUAUCGACACUUCCUCAAGGUCAAUGAUUCCUUCCUAGAUGAUGACUCACUUGGGUCCUUGUGGUUUCGAGGCAGGCGCCAGAACCACUGAGCUAAAUCCCCGGCCCGACUUCCAGUACUUUUUAAAAUUCUUAACAUUUCAGCUUUUUUUUUUUGGUACCAGGGAUGGAACUCAGGUCCUUGUGCUUGCGAGGCAAGUGGCAGAACCCCUGAGCUAAAUCCCCGGCCCCAUUUCAACUUUUUACUAACAGUAACUGACUGUUCCUUGUUUUGUUUUUUGAGUCAAGGUUUUGCUGUUGUUCAGGCUGGCCUUGAACUCCUGACGAUCUUCCUGCCUCAGCCUUCCAAGCACUAGAAAUACAGGAGUGUGGCCACCAUGAUUUUUUUUUUUUUUUUUUUUUGAGACAAGUUCUCGCCAUGUAGCUUAGACUGGCCUUAAACUCACUAUGUAGUCCAGACUGGCCAUGAACUCAUGGCAGUCCUCCUGCCUCAGCCUCCCGAAGUGUUGGGAUUACAGGCAUGCACCACCAUGCCAUUCUUGCAUGUUGUUCAUGUGUUCCAUUAAAGACCUUAGCACAUUACAGUUAUUAAGUUCUUGGUCCAGUAUACCACUCCGAGAACCAUGCUGUACCUGAGUCUGGUUCUGAUGCUUUGUCUACACUUUGCUCCCUUGUCGUGUUUUUUUUUUAACUGGAAACAGUUGGGGGGGGGAUUUAGCUCAGUGGUUCUGGCGCCUGCCUCAUAAGCACAAGGUCCCCAACCGAGUUUGAUCCCUGGUACCAAAAAACAAAAACAUAAACUGGAAACAGUUGUAUUGGGUAAUAGGAACUGAAGUAAAUAGGCCUUUAGUGGGAGGUUGUUUAUCUGACUGUUUGCUACAGCUAUAGGUAUCUCAGGGCCUUCAAUUUCCCUGUUUCCUUCUUUUUGUUUUCUCUGUUGUCAUUAGGUUUCCCUAGACACUUCUUAAAAUCUUGCAGCUCUCUCCAUUGUAAUCCACUGUUAUUUUGGAGCCCUAUGAUUGAAACAGCAUUCUACUAAAUCUGGUGCCACUCCCCCCAGUAGCUUCUUUUCCCUCCUCUUACUCGAUACAGCAAAGCCAGAGGAGGCUUGAGCCAUCUCACUGCCCUUCCUCUACCACUGAGAAGGCUUUAGCAAAGUAGUUUUCCCUUAGGGCAGGCCUCUGCCUUAGAGAACAGAAAACCUGAGGCUGCUUUCUCUCUGUAUUUCUAAAUGGCUACUUUUCCUCCCCCCUGCCCAAAGCACAAGGUGUCUUUUGGCAACAUCUUCACAGUGAGAAGGAAGCAGGGCUCCUGGAGGUAAAACCCAUGAAAGUGUGAAUUCAGGGCGCCCUGGACUAGGUCCUAGUUUUGGGGUUUUUGGUACCACGGAUCGAACUCAGGACCUUGUGCUUUCGAGGCAGGCAGCAGCACCACUGAGCUAAAUCCCCAGCCGUGGGUCCUAGUUUUUAACUCUCAAGCAGGUCCACUCUUAGCCCCCAGAAAUUAUUUAAAUUCCAGUCAUUUCUUCCAGGAGGUCCUGCCUUAGAUAAGCCGAUGUGUAUCUUCCUAUCUAUUUAGUUUUUAUGGUGGACAUUAACCCGUUAACCUAUAGCCUCAAUUCUCCGAUGGAUGGAAGAAAAGCUGUUGUGCUGAGCAUGGCGGUGCAAGCCUAUAAU